rnacentral:misc_RNA from 1 species
GAAUAAGAGGGCAGGUCAUGAAAUAUUGCCGCCCGACUUCCAUUUCUAACACUGUGCACUUGAUGGCGAGUCUUGAUGGAAUUAACGAGUUUUCGAACUUUGAAAUGAAACCUUGACUUGCGGCUUCAUUUUAAACAUUAGUCAAAGUAUGUAAAGAAAUAUUAAACAAAAAAAAACUUUCAACAACGGAUCUCUUGGCUCU